rnacentral:rRNA from 1 species
GACGAACCGUGCGAACGUUGUUCGGAAUCACUGGGCUUAAAGGGCGCGUAGGCGGCCUGCUAAGUCGAACGUGAAAUCCCCGGGCUCAACCCGGGAACUGCGUCCGAUACUGGCUGGCUUGAAUCCGGGAGAGGGAUGCGGAAUUCCAGGUGUAGCGGUGAAAUGCGUAGAUAUCUGGAGGAACACCGGUGGCGAAGGCGGCAUCCUGGACCGGUAUUGACGCUGAUGCGCGAAAGCCAGGGGAGCAAACGGG